CCAGACUCCUACGGGAGGCAGUAGUGGGGAAUAUUGCACAAUGGGGGAAACCCUGAUGCAGCGACGCCGCGUGAGUGAAGAAGUAUUUCGGUAUGUAAAGCUCUAUCAGCAGGGAAGAUAAUGACGGUACCUGACUAAGAAGCCCCGGCUAACUACGUGCCAGCAGCCGCGGUAAUACGUAGGGGGCGAGCGUUAUCCGGAUUCACUGGGUGUAAAGGGAGCGUAGACGGCCGUGCAAGCCAGGAGUGAAAGCCCGGGGCCCAACCCCGGGACUGCUCUUGGAACUGUGCGGCUGGAGUGCGGGAGGGGCAGGCGGAAUUCCUGGUGUAGCGGUGAAAUGCGUAGAUAUUAGGAGGAACACCAGUGGCGAAGGCGGCCUGCUGGACGAUGACUGACGUUGAGGCUCGAAAGCGUGGGGAGCAAACAGGAUUAGAUACCCGAGUACU
rnacentral:rRNA from 1 species